AUUGAACGCUGGCGGCAGGCUUAACACAUGCAAGUCGAACGAGUGGCGGACGGGUGAGUAAUGCUUGGGAAUCUAGCUUAUGGAGGGGGAUAACUACGGGAAACUGUAGCUAAUACCGCGUACCAUAGGAUGAGCCCAAGUGGGAUUAGGUAGUUGGUGAGGUAAAGGCUCACCAAGCCGACGAUCUCUAGCUGGUCUAAGAGGAUGACCAGCAACAAUGGAAUGGGGACACGGCCCAGACCCCUAAGGGAGGAAGCGGUGGGGAAUAUUGCACAAUGGGCGAAAGCCUGAUGCAGCCAUGCCGCGUGUAUGAAGAAGUCCUUAGGGUUGUAAAGUAAUUUCAGCGGGGAGGCUUUACCCGCAGAAGAAGCACCGGCUAACUCCGUGCCAGCAGCCGCGGUAAUAC
rnacentral:rRNA from 1 species